UUUAAUAGUCGAACAGACUAGCUUGUGUAGCUACUACACUAGACAGCACCCAAAAUUCAACAUCGAGGUCACAAAAUCUUCUAUCGAUAUGGGCUCUCUAAAAGCAUUGUGCUGUUAUCCCUGAGGUAACUACUCUUUAACUUGUUUAAGAUCCUUAUACGGCUAUAUAGUUGACGUACAAACUAGAUGUGUUAGUUUACCGCCCCAGUUUGAUACAAUAAAGCCAAAGACCUAAAUUGUUUGGGUCUGAGCCCCAUGCUUCAUCAGCUCUGCAGGGUCUUAUCUUCCCAUUGAUUGAGCUUGAAGUUUUAAUCAAGCCCUUAAGUUACAGACUAUAGACUUACAAGUCGUCUUUCAUGAGCCCCUUCAUUCUAGACCCCAAUUAAAAGCCAAAUUAUUAUGCUACCUUUGCACAGUUAGGG
rnacentral:rRNA from 1 species